UUUAUUUUUAAUAAUAAUAAUAAUUAAAUGCAGUGAAAGUCACCUUUCCCUCCCACUUCCAUUUUCGACCCCUUUCGUCUUCCUGAUCACUCAGAGAAAAUAUGCCCAAGCAUGGCAACCCCAUGCUAUUUUCUCCCAUCUGCUCUGCCUGCUGGACGGCGACGGGAAUGGCAACUUCCCAACCCGCCUUCUGUCAGCCUCUGCCACCGCUUCUGCUUCUGCUUUUCCCAUUGCAUAACAUUUCGUUUUAGUAUAUAUUUUGAGGUCGGGCCUUGUCAUUUACCACACAAAACAUGAAGAAAAAUCUCGCUAACGUCGUGAAAAGAGGUUAUUCCUCGAGAGGAAAGAGCUCGCCGACGCCGCCCCUGAUCAAGAAACGGCCGGGUAAGGACAGCGAGGAGCAUAAGGUGAGUUUGACGUUCUGCACGACCAGCUCGCCAGAGACGCUGCGCCCACCCCAGAAGUCCUCGACCAGUGGUACGAGGACUUCGUAAGGGAUGUGGUGAUUCCGGGGGAGUCGUCCUACCAGGAGGACGACGGCGACGAAGAGGACGAGGACGACCGUAAACAGGGUUGAUCGACGGCUGAGCGGAAAAACCCACCACCACCUACCUAUCUUUAUAUUUUAGUUAUGUUUAAUUAUGAGUCCGACUUUUUUAAGUUUAAGUUUCUGUAGUUAUGAGAUCUAAUGAAUGAAAUUUGGAUGCUUUGUUAAAUAUGAAAGUGUUAUCAUUUUCCGCAUGUCGAAAACCAAGAGUAGUUAUGGAUUUUUUUUAUCAA